rnacentral:rRNA from 1 species
UACAGAGGUCUCAACCGUUGUUCGGAUUCAUUGGGCGUAAAGGGUGCGUAGGCGGUCGCGUAAGUCAGGUGUGAAAUCUCAGGGCUCAACCCUGAAACUGCACUUGAUACUGCGUGGCUCGGGUACUGGAGAGGAGACUGGAAUUUACGGUGUAGCAGUGAAAUGCGUAGAUAUCAGGAGGAACACCGGUGGCGAAGGCGGGUCUCUGGGCCGAUACUGACGCUGAGGAGCGAAAGCGUGGGGAGCGAACAGG